GGGGUAGUAGCUCAGUUGAUAGAGCGCUGCAUUCGCAUUGCAGAGGUCGUGGGUUUAAGUCCCAUCUACUCCACCA
rnacentral:tRNA from 1 species